UGACUGGAGUUGGGAAUGAAAAUUCUGAUAUAGAUAUUCAUGUGGAACUUGAUAAGAGUCCAUGGAGAACAUCACACAAUAUAGCAGUCGAACAUAUUUAUAAGGCAGCCGAUGUGCUUUACAGAAAUUUUAGUGAAACUUGGGUCUCUGUAGGCACAAUUACUAAUAAACUUAUUCCAAUUAUAUGCUUAAUUCAUUCAAUAUUGAAGUCGAUGUUAAUUUCUCAGAUCGAUUUUCAUCACCGCAUGAUGAUUUGCUCAAUUAUUUCUUUGAUUUGCAGCCCAUUGCUCGUUAUAUGAUUCACUAUUUGCGUCGUAGAACAAGAAGUCUUGAACUUCAGCAGCAUCUUCGUAGUCAUCAUCACUCUUUGAUGGUUGUCUAUUUUCUACAAAUCAAAAACCUCCUUCUGCAAGUUGUGACAAUGGGUGAAGACUAUGAGAUAAAUGUGGAAAAUAAAUUGAAAAUAAAAAGACUUGUAGCCAACACCAAAAAUACUAAAUACAUCUUAAAGGAAUAUUUAAAAUUUUAUGCAAACUUCGAUUAUAAUAAAUAAGCGAUUUGCCCUUAUUAUGGGACAUGGAUAACUAGAGCAAAACUGACGCAUUUAAUACCAAAGUCCUUCGAUUUUAAAAUUGCCUCAUUCAUUAAGCCAAUUGUCAUUCAAGACAUUUUGCAGAUAUACUACAAUAAGGCAAGGAGUAUCAAACUUGAACAUUUUACGAAAUUCUUAUUAAAUACAGAUUUACUUUAAUGCUUUUGUUAAUAUAAGAUUUAUGACUAGUCUUGUGUGGAAAUAUCAAGUUCUAUAUGAAAUCAGCUCAUAACCAAAAUUUGUUGCAUACUUUUAUGAGAAGCGCAAAUGUUUUAAAAGAUGCCGAGAAGUAGGCAAAGUUUUUUGUAAUUGUUUUGUAAA